rnacentral:lncRNA from 1 species
GGAACAGUGUCUGGUUUGGUUUCUGCAGAUAGGAUGGAUCCCCAGAAAAAAAUAUGGCAAACAGAGAUGGCUCAGUCAGUAAAGUUGUGAGACCUUUCUGGAAUGUGAACUCUGCUGCCAAUGAGCGUGGGAGAGAAGAGAUAUCAUAGACUGAAGCCAGGAUGGCUCCAGAAAGGCUUCGAUCCCAGUCUUGACUCUCAUGGUCACCUCGGCCAUUCGAAGGGAGCUCAGCAGUCCAGCUGGAGCCUUAUGCUUCCCAGUUCCAGAGACUUUCAGUGGGCUGAGAGACCAGGAAGUGGCAGCCUCUCCAGACCACCUGGAGACCUGGUAAAGAAGAUCUCACUGGGGCCUUCAG